AUGGUUCUGAUGUGUAAUAGAGGGGGCAAAAGUGUUAUCCAUUUCAUUGUUUCUGUGCAUGUUUACGUUGACCAUCGGUGGCGGGAGGCGGCAUUGCUGGCGGCCGAAGGGGUGCUUGUGGAAGCAGGUGGAAUAGUCGGCAGCUGUGGGGAUUCGUUAUUCUCUGAGGUUGGCGGGCUUGACGCGAGGCUCGAUGGGGCUACGGGAUUGUCAAGCAGGCGGGUGAUUGCUCAACGAUGACUGGAGACGAUCUUCGGUAUUACAACUGGUUUAUACCAAUGGGUUAUUUGCAUCUCAAGUUAAAUUAGUCACUGUUGAUCAACAAUGAGAUGUGGCCAUUGUUUGAUGGAUCAUUGAUGGUACGGAUGUGCAAUGAAACAAUGAUAUACCCACUGUAUUGGACCCAAACACCUUCGUGAAAAUUGUUCUGAAGGGGUUAGCACAAGGAAACUAUUGUUAUGACUUGCGAGGUCUGCUGGAGGUGACCGGAUCCGGACGACUUGAGCAAAGCUGUGAAAAUUCACGGCAAGGGAUGGGGGUACAAGGCAUGGGUCUGCGGCGCCACACCUUGCUAUUCCCUGCCGGUGGCCAGCGAGCUGUGGCGGUGCUUCUCUGUUGCAUGGCGAGGGACUGGGGUGCAAGGCGUGCAUCUGCAGUGCCACUCCUGGGGCAUGCCUCUCCCGCGACAUUGCCGGCAUACACAACAUACCUUACUACACAGGGAUUUCCUCUCUGAACUAAAUAUUAUGUCAGAACUGAAUAUUACGUCCGAAGACUGAAACAUCCAGAAAGCUUAUUGAGACUAUUCAUUGAUGGUGUUUCUCUACUACACGAGGAAGGUAAUUGUCGUUUAUGUGCUUCUUUUCCUAUUUCAAUGCACCAUUGUGUUAUUUUGGUUGAAAAAUUAAAGUUUCUACAUAUUUUCAUGGUUUAUGAAAAGUAGCUGAGAUCCGUUGUUUUAUUCCUACAUAUUGAGGAAAUUCUGGUGAAGCUAAAGUUGGUGUUGUUUCUCUUUUUUUCUGCGAU